GGCUGCGGCGCGGGAAGCAACCCAGAGCCCUCCUCCCGCCUGCUCUGUGUAGGAGACAGCCUGCGGAGCCCACUGCCGGCGCGCAGAGAGCCCAGCAGCUCUUGAGUCCAGGAAGCAAGGGUGGGAGGAGGGACGAGCCAGUGGCAAUGACCCAGACCCGGACGACCCCCAUUGCUGAGCCAGCGGAGCUGCUUGGGUCCACGAGGCUGGUGUCAGACCUAUUGGGAGACCCUCUGCGUUAGUGAGAAAAACGGCAAGAAAUGGGAGCACGCGGAAACCUCCAAGACUAGAGCCACCAGAUGCCACCGACAGCACGCAGCUGGACCAGCACGGGGGAGGGCCUUCGUGGGUCGAGAGCUCGCUCGGGAGAUAGUUGGUGCUUUUCUUUCAGGAGAAGAAUCCCUGGCGGAGUCUGACCGUUCUCUGGCGCACAGCCCCGGGGGUGGGCACAGCAGCCGCCCCUGCUGAAGGGACUGACGCCUCCGACGACCAGCAGCCAAGUUAAACGCACUGUUCCGUGAGCAGCUUUGUUGGAGACAGCGCGGUUCACAUUCUCUUCCAACGGAGCCGCUGACUGCGGAGCUGGGAGGGGACGUGACAGAACCCAGCCAUCCAACGUCCCCCCACCCCUCCCCAGCUGGGACCUCCGGCUGCUUCCGGGCUGCGCUGGGUGGCGUCAAGGAGCCGCCCCUCUGGGCCGCGUCCCUCCCUCACGCCCUGCACACUGGCCCUGUGUGGCCGGCGGGGCGCCUAAAAGGGCGGAAGGAUGCAGGGGCGGAGGGGGCUCGGGAUUGCACGCCUAGCUCAGACCCCCCAGCCAGGACCCCUCGCGCUGUUGGACACGCCAGCCUCCCGACCCUGCGGCUCCUACGGGAGGUGACAAGGACCCUGCCAACCUGGCCUGAAUGGCCCAGUUUGAUACAGAUCAGGUUUUCAAUGAAUGAGACCGCGGUGUGGUCUAGGCGGAGGGAUGAGAGGAGGGGAUUCUGCUGGGAUAAGUGGGGGCGGGGUAAGGAGGGGAUUCUUUUCCUGGGCUGAGGAGAACGCAGGGACAAAGUACACAGGGGUAGUUGAGUGAGCAGGUGAGGCCCUAGGCUGGUUCCCCACCUUCUCAGGAUCGGAGCCACUCACUUCCUGGUACUCUCUGCAGUCUCCUGGCGUUAAAUAACAUCCCUUUGCUGGAGACUCUGGAUUCACAUCCAUAAUCGCAGCCUCCCCUACUCAUCCCCUCACGCUUCCCAUGAACUAACCUUGAAGGACCCGACCAGAGCCCUGACCUCCGUCCCACACACCUGCUACAUGGAAGGUGUUCUCCACAUCAGUUCAAGGCAGUGUCACUCUUCAGGAUGUUCAGGCUCUAAACCUUGGACUCCUCCUCCAGAUUUCUCUCUCCUUCCUUCUCCUUGUCUCUCCCUUGCACUUACGGUUCACUUUUCCUUCGUAGCUUUGUAGCUCAUUCCCCCUUCCACUUUCCACACCACCUUCUGGUCUGUUAAUUAAAUAUUACCUGGUUUCCACUGACACCUUCCCUGGGUUCCCAAUUGAAAAUCACAACAUCAUCCUCCUCCUCUGCUUUUUUUCUCCAAAUUAUAUCCUCACCCAAUUAUGUGUUAUUCUCAUUAAUCUUGCUUAAUUAAUUAGCAGACAUUAUUAAUGCCUGUUUCCCCUAUCACCACCACUAGACUAUGAACUCCUAAGGACUCCUUCCUUCCACCACUGUUGUACUCGCUUCACCUAGAACUGCUUGGCACAUACAAUGUGCUCCAUAAAUAUUUGUUGAAUGAAAGACUAGACACAACUUAGGAUUCACUCCCCCAUGUGGCAUCCAUAAGCCCUGUAUGCAGGUAAAAUGUCAGUGGGUUGACUAAAUACUGGAAGUGGAAAAAACUUCACCUCUUUGGUUUGCAGUUGUCUAGGAUAUUUAGGCCAAUGGAAAAUCCAGUUUUCCUUAGAAUUAAGCCAGUGCCGCCAGACUUGCCAGUUUACCAUGCUUGUCUGACUGGUCCUCAGCAUGGGUCAUACGUGUCCAAUGAAUUCAAACAAAAUCUUGAGAAGACACGAACCUUGCCCUUCGGCUGGGCGCGGUGGCUCACGCCUGUAAUCCCAGCACUUUGGGAGGCCGAGGCAGGCGGAUCACGAGGUCAGGAGAUCGAGACCAUCCUGGCUAACAUGGUGAAACCCCGUCUCUACUAAAAAUACAAAAAAUUAGCCGAGCGUGGUGGCGGGCGCCUGUAGUCCCAGCUACUCAGGAGGCUGAGGCAGGAGAAUGGCGUGAACCCGGGAGGCGGAGCUUGCAGUGAGUGAGCCGAGAUCGCACCCCUGCACUCCAGCCUGGGCGACAGAGCGAGACUCCGUAAAAAAACAAAAAAAAAACCUUGCCCUUCAUUCCCCAUUUCUAUCAUAAUCUACACAGAGUUUUGAACAGGCAUUUUAAAAUCAACAAUAUAUUAUUUACAAUUUUGUUAGUAUACAUAACUCUAACUCACUGUUAAAAAUCACCUGUCUUUAUAUCCAUUAAAUGACACUUGCAUAUGCUCCAAUUUUUCACUAAUGAUUUCGAGAGCAUUCUGGGACACAGGUGUCUGGACCUUUCAUAAGUAAACAGAAUUCCUAGCGACGGAAUUGUGUAUGCAGUAUGGAAACACCUUAUAAUAUACUGUCCUGGAUAUUGUAAAGGUGAACCAACAUUCUGUUAAAUUUAGAGCAAGUUGCAGAAAACUAUAUGAUACUUAAUUCUGUGCUAUAUGUAUAAUGGUUUCUUAGGGUUUUUUAAAUUUUUUUUUUCUUAGAGACAGUGUCUCACUCUCUUGCCCAGUCUGGAGUACAGUGGCACAAUCACAGCUCACUGCAGCCUCGACCUCCUAGGCUCAAGUGAUACUCCCACCUCACCUCCCAAGUAGCUGGGACUACAGGCAUGUGCCACCAUGU
ensembl:lncRNA KHDC1-AS1 KHDC1 antisense RNA 1